AGGGUCACACACAGGACCAAGCAGGAGCAGGAUGAUCUCAGCAUUUUGAUAUUUUACUACAAAUGGAGGAACUCGAAGAUGUUCAAUACUGUUUUCAAGACAGAAAUUCUUCUUGCAGAAAGGCUUUGCCAUUGACUACCAGCAAUGACGAUACAUGUGGUGUUGAUACAGAAUGAUUUGGUUGGAUUGGAAUGACUAGGAGAAGGAAUAAGAAGCCUGAAUUUGUCAGGAAAUGGACUCUACAAGAUGUCGAAAGUGUUCCACAGGGAUGCCGGCCCAUAUUGACUCCAAUCCUUUGUGCUGUGGGUGACUGACCAAUCUGGAUACACAGGAAAUUGCUGAGUGUGAAAAACACCGUUGCCCUUCUUGACACAAUCAAAGCCAAUUUCCCUGGCACCUAGUACCAUACCCCUUUCAAAGGCACUUAAAUAUGUUGUCUUGCCCAUUCACCCUGUGAAUGACACACAUAAAACAAUUAAGACAUGGAUUGUGUAAGGCUUAAAAAUCCUUCUUUUACCUGUCUCCUCACCUUCAUCUACAAUGAUUGAAUUGGAUUUAACAGGUGACAUCAAUAAGGGAUUGUUCCUUUCACCUGGAUUCACCUGAUCAGUCUAUGUCAUGUUCUGUACACUCAGUCUAUAUGUUGUUAAACAUUACCCUCUCGUGGCUCAUUUGGGACACAAUGCCUUAAACAAGUACAUUAAAGUUGAAAUGUGCAAUUCUUUAUGAUAUCAGAUAACAUCCAAGUCUAACUCAAUGGUGUAUUGUGUAAGUAGUUGUAAAAUGUAAUAAUAUGAAAUUGUGGGUAACACUUUAUAAUAAUGUUCAGCAUUAAACCAUUUGUAAUCAUUUACAGUUUGUUCACCGUUUACUCAUCAUUACUCCCAC